rnacentral:rRNA from 1 species
GGAGCUGAAGUCAGUCGAAGAUACCAGCUGGCUGCAACUGUUUAUUAAAAACACAGCACUGUGCAAACACGAAAGUGGACGUAUACGGUGUGACGCCUGCCCGGUGCCGGAAGGUUAAUUGAUGGGGUCAGCGCAAGCGAAGCUCCUGAUCGAAGCCCCGGUAAACGGCGGCCGUAACUAUAACGGUCCUAAGGUAGCGAAAUUCCUUGUCGGGUAAGUUCCGACCUGCACGAAUGGCGUAAUGAUGGCCAGGCUGUCUCCACCCGAGACUCAGUGAAAUUGAACUCGCUGUGAAGAUGCAGUGUACCCGCGGCAAGACGGAAAGACCCCGUGAACCUUUACUAUAGCUUGACACUGAACAUUGAGCCUUGAUGUGUAGGAUAGGUGGGAGGCUUUGAAGUGUGGACGCCAGUCUGCAUGGAGCCGACCUUGAAAUACCACCCUUUAAUGUUUGAUGUUCUAACGUGGACCCGUAAUCCGGGUUGCGGACAGUGUCUGGUGGGUAGUUUGACUGGGGCGGUCUCCUCCUAAAGAGUAACGGAGGAGCACGAAGGUUGGCUAAUCCUGGUCGGACAUCAGGAGGUUAGUGCAAUGGCAUAAGCCAGCUUGACUGCGAGCGUGACGGCGCGAGCAGGUGCGAAAGCAGGUCAUAGUGAUCCGGUGGUUCUGAAUGGAAGGGCCAUCGCUCAACGGAUAAAAGGUACUCCGGGGAUAACAGGCUGAUACCGCCCAAGAGUUCAUAUCGACGGCGGUGUUUGGCACCUCGAUGUCGGCUCAUCACAUCCUGGGGCUGAAGUAGGUCCCAAGGGUAUGGCUGUUCGCCAUUUAAAGUGGUACGCGAGCUGGGUUUAGAACGUCGUGAGACAGUUCGGUCCCUAUCUGCCGUGGGCGCUGGAGAACUGAGGGGGGCUGCUCCUAGUACGAGAGGACCGGAGUGGACGCAUCACUGGUGUUCGGGUUGUCAUGCCAAUGGCACUGCCCGGUAGCUAAAUGCGGAAGAGAUAAGUGCUGAAAGCAUCUAAGCACGAAACUUGCCCCGAGAUGAGUUCUCCCUGAGACUUUAGGUCUCCUGAAGGAACGUUGAAGACGACGACGUUGAUAGGCCGGGUGUGUAAGCGCAGCGAUGCGUUGAGCUAACCGGUACUAAUGAACCGUGAGGCUUAA